UACGAAGGGGGCUAGCGUUGCUCGGAAUUACUGGGCGUAAAGGGCGCGUAGGCGGCACUGUUAGUCAGGCGUGAAAUUCCUGGGCUCAACCUGGGGACUGCGCUUGAUACGGCAGAGCUAGAGGAUGGAAGAGGCUCGCGGAAUUCCCAGUGUAGAGGUGAAAUUCGUAGAUAUUGGGAAGAACACCGGUGGCGAAGGCGGCGAGCUGGUCCAUUACUGACGCUG
rnacentral:rRNA from 1 species